rnacentral:lncRNA from 1 species
UUUGCAAAGCAAUCUGAGGGUUUAUAUAAGAUGGAAUUGGCUCUUUGCAGAUGAGUUCCCUUCAGUCUCUGGAGGUUGCUCUGAACUCUGUUAGCUCUUCUCUCACUAUAUUUUUCCCUGCCAGGGUAGUAGGAAUAGAAUCCUUUUUGUUUCACUGAAACUCUGAAUUUAUAACCUGAUUUUUGUGGAUCUGUGGGCUCAAAUGAGAGAGGCCCAAGUCCAAAAA